GGUUAAGCGACUAAGCGUACACGGUGGAUGCCCUGGCAGUCAGAGGCGAUGAAGGACGUGCUAAUCUGCGAAAAGCGUCGGUAAGGUGAUAUGAACCGUUACAGCCGGCGAUGUCCGAAUGGGGAAACCCAGUGCAAUUCGUUGCACUAUCGUUAACUGAAUACAUAGGUUAACGAGGCGAACCGGGGGAACUGAAACAUCUAAGUACCCCGAGGAAAAGAAAUCAACCGAGAUUCCCCCAGUAGCGGCGAGCGAACGGGGAGCAGCCCGGAGUCUGAAUCAGCUUGUGUGUUAGUGGAAGCGUCUGGAAAGUCGCAGGGUACAGGGUGAUACUCCCGUACACUAAAACACACAGGCUGUGAACUCGAAGAGUAGGGCGGGACACGUGGUAUCCUGUCUGAAUAUGGGGGGACCAUCCUCCAAGGCUAAAUACUCCUGACUGACCGAUAGUGAACCAGUACCGUGAGGGAAAGGCGAAAAGAACCCCGGCGAGGGGAGUGAAAAAGAACCUGAAACCGUGUACGUACAAGCAGUAGGAGCCCACUAGUUGGGUGACUGCGUACCUUUUGUAUAAUGGGUCAGCGACUUAUAUUCUGUAGCAAGGUUAACCGUAUAGGGGAGCCGCAGGGAAACCGAGUCUUAACUGGGCGUUAAGUUGCAGGGUAUAGACCCGAAACCCGGUGAUCUAGCCAUGGGCAGGUUGAAGGUUGGGUAACACUAACUGGAGGACCGAACCGACUAAUGUUGAAAAAUUAGCGGAUGACUUGUGGCUGGGGGUGAAAGGCCAAUCAAACCGGGAGAUAGCUGGUUCUCCCCGAAAGCUAUUUAGGUAGCGCCUCGUGAACUCAUCUUCGGGGGUAGAGCACUGUUUCGGCUAGGGGGUCAUCCCGACUUACCAACCCGAUGCAAACUACGAAUACCGAAGAAUGUUAUCACGGGAGACACACGGCGGGUGCUAACGUCCGUCGUGAAGAGGGAAACAACCCAGACCGCCAGCUAAGGUCCCAAAGUCAUGGUUAAGUGGGAAACGAUGUGGGAAGGCCCAGACAGCCAGGAUGUUGGCUUAGAAGCAGCCAUCAUUUAAAGAAAGCGUAAUAGCUCACUGGUCGAGUCGGCCUGCGCGGAAGAUGUAACGGGGCUAAACCAUGCACCGAAGCUGCGGCAGCGACGCUUAUGCGUUGUUGGGUAGGGGAGCGUUCUGUAAGCCGUUGAAGGUGGCCUGUGAGGGUUGCUGGAGGUAUCAGAAGUGCGAAUGCUGACAUAAGUAACGAUAAUGCGGGUGAAAAACCCGCACGCCGGAAGACCAAGGGUUCCUGUCCAACGUUAAUCGGGGCAGGGUGAGUCGACCCCUAAGGCGAGGCCGAAAGGCGUAGUCGAUGGGAAACAGGUUAAUAUUCCUGUACUUGGUGUUACUGCGAAGGGGGGACGGAGAAGGCUAUGUUGGCCGGGCGACGGUUGUCCCGGUUUAAGCAUGUAGGCGGAUGUUCCAGGUAAAUCCGGAACGUCACUAACGCUGAGGUGUGAUGACGAGGCACUACGGUGCUGAAGUGACAAAUGCCCUGCUUCCAGGAAAAGCCUCUAAGCAUCAGGUAACAUCAAAUCGUACCCCAAACCGACACAGGUGGUCAGGUAGAGAAUACCAAGGCGCUUGAGAGAACUCGGGUGAAGGAACUAGGCAAAAUGGUGCCGUAACUUCGGGAGAAGGCACGCUGAUGGUAGGUGAAGUGACUUGCUCAUGGAGCUGAAAUCAGUCGAAGAUACCAGCUGGCUGCAACUGUUUAUUAAAAACACAGCACUGUGCAAACACGAAAGUGGACGUAUACGGUGUGACGCCUGCCCGGUGCCGGAAGGUUAAUUGAUGGGGUUAUCCGUAAGGAGAAGCUCUUGAUCGAAGCCCCGGUAAACGGCGGCCGUAACUAUAACGGUCCUAAGGUAGCGAAAUUCCUUGUCGGGUAAGUUCCGACCUGCACGAAUGGCGUAAUGAUGGCCAGGCUGUCUCCACCCGAGACUCAGUGAAAUUGAACUCGCUGUGAAGAUGCAGUGUACCCGCGGCAAGACGGAAAGACCCCGUGAACCUUUACUAUAGCUUGACACUGAACACUGGUCCUUGAUGUGUAGGAUAGGUGGGAGGCUUUGAAGUGUGGACGCCAGUCUGCAUGGAGCCAUCCUUGAAAUACCACCCUUUAAUGGCUGGUGUUCUAACGUGGGCCCGUGAUCCGGGUUGCGGACAGUGUCUGGUGGGUAGUUUGACUGGGGCGGUCUCCUCCUAAAGAGUAACGGAGGAGCACGAAGGUCAGCUAAUCCUGGUCGGACAUCAGGAGGUUAGUGCAAUGGCAUAAGCUGGCUUGACUGCGAGCGUGACGGCGCGAGCAGGUGCGAAAGCAGGUCAUAGUGAUCCGGUGGUUCUGAAUGGAAGGGCCAUCGCUCAACGGAUAAAAGGUACUCCGGGGAUAACAGGCUGAUACCGCCCAAGAGUUCAUAUCGACGGCGGUGUUUGGCACCUCGAUGUCGGCUCAUCACAUCCUGGGGCUGAAGUAGGUCCCAAGGGUAUGGCUGUUCGCCAUUUAAAGUGGUACGCGAGCUGGGUUUAGAACGUCGUGAGACAGUUCGGUCCCUAUCUGCCGUGGGCGCUGGAGAAUUGAGGGGGGCUGCUCCUAGUACGAGAGGACCGGAGUGGACGCAUCACUGGUGUUCGGGUUGUCAUGCCAAUGGCAUUGCCCGGUAGCUAAAUGCGGAAGAGAUAAGUGCUGAAAGCAUCUAAGCACGAAACUUGCCCCGAGAUGAGUUCUCCCUGACCCUUUAAGGGUCCUGAAGGAACGUUGAAGACGACGACGUUGAUAGGCCGGGUGUGUAAGCGCAGCGAUGCGUUGAGCUAACCGGUACUAAUGAACCGUGAGGCUUAACCUU
rnacentral:rRNA from 1 species